rnacentral:rRNA from 1 species
CACGUAGGAGGCGAACGUUAUCCGGAAUUACUGGGCGUAAAGCGCACGUAGGCGGCAUCGUAAGUCCGACGUGAAAGCUCCUGGCUUAACUGGGAGAGGCCGUUGGAUACUGCGAAGCUCGAGGUUGGGAGAGGAGAGUGGAAUUCCCGGUGUAGUGGUGGAAUGCGUAGAUAUCGGGAGGAACUCCAGUGGCGAAAGCGACUCUCUGGCCUACACCUGACGCUAAAGUGCGAAAGCGUGGGUAGCGAACAGG